UUGAUUUGGUACUAGGCCAGACUAGUGUCUAGCGGUUGAUUUGGUACUAGGCCAGACUAGUGUCUAGGGGUUGAUUUGGUACUAGGCCAGACUAGUGUCUAGGGGUUGAUUUGGUACUAGGCCAGACUAGUGUCUAGGGUUGAUUUGGUACUAGGCCAGACUAGUGUCUAGGGUUGAUUUGGUACUAGGCCAGACUAGUGUCUAGGGGUUGAUUUGGUACUAGGCCAGACUAGUGUCUAGGGGUUGAUUUGGUACUAGGCCAGACUAGUGUCUAGGGGUUGAUUUGGUACUAGGCCAGACUAGUGUCUAGGGGUUGAUUUGGUACUAGGCCAGACUAGUGUCUAGGGGUUGAUUUGGUACUAGGCCAGACUAGUGUCUAGGGGUUGAUUUGGUACUAGGCCAGACUAGUGUCUAGGGGUUGAUUUGGUACUAGGCCAGACUAGUGUCUAGGGUUGAUUUGGUACUAGGCCAGACUAGUGUCUAGCGGUUGAUUUGGUACUAGGCCAGACUAGUGUCUAGGGGUUGAUUUGGUACUAGGCCAGACUAGUGUCUAGCGGUUGAUUUGGUACUAGGCCAGACUAGUGUCUAGGGGUUGAUUUGGUACUAGGCCAGACUAGUGUCUAGGGGUUGAUUUGGUACUAGGCCAGACUAGUGUCUAGGGGUUGAUUUGGUACUAGGCCAGACUAGUGUCUAGGGGUUGAUUUGGUACUAGGCCAGACUAGUGUCUAGGGGUUGAUUUGGUACUAGGCCAGACUAGUGUCUAGCGGUUGAUUUGGUACUAGGCCAGACUAGUGUCUAGGGGUUGAUUUGGUACUAGGCCAGACUAGUGUCUAGGGGUUGAUUUGGUACUAGGCCAGACUAGUGUCUAGGGGUUGAUUUGGUACUAGGCCAGACUAGUGUCUAGGGGUUGAUUUGGUACUAGGCCAGACUAGUGUCUAGGGGUUGAUUUGGUACUAGGCCAGACUAGUGUCUAGGGUUGAUUUGGUACUAGGCCAGACUAGUGUCUAGGGGUUGAUUUGGUACUAGGCCAGACUAGUGUCUAGCGGUUGAUUUGGUACUAGGCCAGACUAGUGUCUAGGGGUUGAUUUGGUACUAGGCCAGACUAGUGUCUAGCGGUUGAUUUGGUACUAGGCCAGACUAGUGUCUAGCGGUUGAUUUGGUACUAGGCCAGACUAGUGUCUAGCGGUUGAUUUGGUACUAGGCCAGACUAGUGUCUAGGGGUUGAUUUGGUACUAGGCCAGACUAGUGUCUAGCGGUUGAUUUGGUACUAGGCCAGACUAGUGUCUAGGGGUUGAUUUGGUACUAGGCCAGACUAGUGUCUAGGGUUGAUUUGGUACUAGGCCAGACUAGUGUCUAGGGGUUGAUUUGGUACUAGGCCAGACUAGUGUCUAGGGGUUGAUUUGGUACUAGGCCAGACUAGUGUCUAGGGGUUGAUUUGGUACUAGGCCAGACUAGUGUCUAGGGGUUGAUUUGGUACUAGGCCAGACUAGUGUCUAGGGGUUGAUUUGGUACUAGGCCAGACUAGUGUCUAGGGGUUGAUUUGGUACUAGGCCAGACUAGUGUCUAGGGGUUGAUUUGGUACUAGGCCAGACUAGUGUCUAGGGGUUGAUUUGGUACUAGGCCAGACUAGUGUCUAGGGGUUGAUUUGGUACUAGGCCAGACUAGUGUCUAGCGGUUGAUUUGGUACUAGGCCAGACUAGUGUCUAGGGGUUGAUUUGGUACUAGGCCAGACUAGUGUCUAGCGGUUGAUUUGGUACUAGGCCAGACUAGUGUCUAGGGGUUGAUUUGGUACUAGGCCAGACUAGUGUCUAGGGGUUGAUUUGGUACUAGGCCAGACUAGUGUCUAGGGGUUGAUUUGGUACUAGGCCAGACUAGUGUCUAGGGGUUGAUUUGGUACUAGGCCAGACUAGUGUCUAGGGUUGAUUUGGUACUAGGCCAGACUAGUGUCUAGCGGUUGAUUUGGUACUAGGCCAGACUAGUGUCUAGGGUUGAUUUGGUACUAGGCCAGACUAGUGUCUAGGGGUUGAUUUGGUACUAGGCCAGACUAGUGUCUAGGGGUUGAUUUGGUACUAGGCCAGACUAGUGUCUAGGGGUUGAUUUGGUACUAGGCCAGACUAGUGUCUAGGGGUUGAUUUGGUACUAGGCCAGACUAGUGUCUAGGGGUUGAUUUGGUACUAGGCCA